AAGGCAGCUUUCUGGAUCAUUACUGACACUGAGGAACGAAAGCAUGGGUAGCGAAGAGGAUUAGAUACCCUCGUAGUCCAUGCCGUAAACGAUGUGUGUUAGACGUUGGAAAUUUAUUUUCAGUGUCGCAGGGAAACCGAUAAACGCACCGCCUGGGGAGUACGACCGCAAGGCUAAAACUCAAAUGAAUUGACGGGGACCCGCACAAGUAGUGGAGCAUGUGGUUUAAUUCGAAGAUACGCGCAGAACCUUACCAACACUUGACAUGUUCGUCGCGACUCUAAGAGAUUAGAGUUUUCGGUUCGGCCGGACGAAACACAGGUGCUGCAUGGCUGUCGUCAGCUCGUGUCGUGAGAUGUUGGGUUAAGUCCCGCAACGAGCGCAACCCUCACUUUUAGUUGCCAUCAUUAAGUUGGGCACUCUGAAAGAACUGCCAGUGAUAAGCUGGAGGAAGGUGGGGAUGACGUCAAGUCCUCAUGGCCCUUACGUGUUGGGCUACACACGUGCUACAAUGGCAUCCACAACAGGAAGCAAAACGGCAACGUUAAGCAAAUCCCGAAAAGAUGCCUCAGCUCGGAUUGCACUCUGCAACUCGAGUGCAUGAAGCUGGAAUUACUAGUAAUCGCGGAUCAGCAUGUCGCGGUGAAUACGUUCCCGGGCCUUGUACACACCGCCCGUCACACCAUGGGAGUGGGUUUUACCAGAAGUAGUUAGUCUAUCCGCAAGGGGGACGAUUACCACGGUAGGAUUCAUGACUGGGGUGAAGUCGUAACAAGGUAGCCGUA
rnacentral:rRNA from 1 species